UUUUCAUAUUUCUUUCAUUUUAGGAUGAAGUGGAAGGUUAAGACCUUUAAGGCCCCUUGCAUUAUGGAUGAGGCUUUACGUGUGCGGGCAAGUCCCUCGCUACCUUGCACUAUUGAUUGAGCAUCUUCUCCAUAUGUUUCGAGGAUGAAACGGAAGAGGAAGACCUUUAAGGCCCCUUGCAUUAUGGAUGAGGCUUUACGUGUGCGGGCAAGUCCCUCGCUACCUUGCACUAUUGAUGGAGCAUCUUCUCCAUAUGUUUCGAGGAUGAAACGGAAGAGGAAGACCUUUAAGGCCCCUUGCAUUAUGGAUGAGGCUUUACGUGUGCGGGCAAGUCCCUCGCUACCUUGCACUAUUGAUGGAGCAUCUUCUCCAUAUGU